GAUGAACGCUGGCGGCGUGCCUAAUACAUGCAAGUCGAGCGAACGGACGAGAAGCUUGCUUCUCUGAUGUUAGCGGCGGACGGGUGAGUAACACGUGGAUAACCUACCUAUAAGACUGGGAUAACUUCGGGAAACCGGAGCUAAUACCGGAUAAUAUUUUGAACCGCAUGGUUCAAAAGUAAAAGACGGUCUUGCUGUCACUUAUAGAUGGAUCCGCGCUGCAUUAGCUAGUUGGUAAGGUAACGGCUUACCAAGGCAACGAUGCAUAGCCGACCUGAGAGGGUGAUCGGCCACACUGGAACUGAGACACGGUCCAGACUCCUACGGGAGGCAGCAGUAGGGAAUCUUCCGCAAUGAGCGAAAGCCUGACGGAGCAACGCCGCGUGAGUGAUGAAGGUCUUCGGAUCGUAAAACUCUGUUAUUAGGGAAGAACAUAUGUGUAAGUAACUGUGCACAUCUUGACGGUACCUAAUCAGAAAGCCACGGCUAACUACGUG
rnacentral:rRNA from 1 species